rnacentral:lncRNA from 1 species
UUUGUUUGGCUUGGAAUUUUUUUCAUCCUAUUUCAAAAAAAUGCAUAACUGUGUUGUCUUCAAGAAGUAGGAUGUUUAUAAUAUAAAGGCAGAAGAGCCUGGGGUGCUUUGGGAGACUGGAGGUCACAUUUAAAAUAACUUGCAUGUAAAAUUAUUCAGCAAAAAGUUGUAGCCUGAAGUGAGUGGCUGGUUCAGAUACUCUCUAGCACAGUCAAGCAGCCCAGAAGAAUUUUUUCUGGUCUUUUUAGAAUUGUCACUGAUCCUUGAAAUGAGACCAUUCCUGCUUGUAUUUCUGAGUUUUAUUCAGGAAGGCCCCUAAGGAAGAGAUCAGCAGAAAGCCAGUGCACCAACAGAAUUACAUGCUAAUCCUCAGAGAGGUGCAGCAGAGGGAUAGAAGUGAAGAAUACAAAGCUUCUGGAAGAAGAAAUUAUUCUGCAUCUCAGAGACAGGCUGCAGCAUUUGGAGAAAAGCACAAGAUUGCUGUCUAAUUAUAAAGGACUGUGCUUGUACCAUUUCACCCAUUUGUUAUAAUCAAAAUCAUUAAACUAAAUUAAUUUAGCAUUGUGCCAUUUUGUCUUGUUAAAAUCUAUGUCAAGAGAAUAAACAAGAGAAUUAAUUCA